UUAUAAAAGCUCUUCUGAUCACUUCUGAUAUUCAGCAUAGUCUAGAAAGUUGCUUGUGCUGUCUGCCAAAUAAUUGAAAUUAGUGACAUUUCAUAUUUUAAUUACUAUAGUGAAGUUGUAGCCGUUUAUCCCACUACAGAUAAAAAACAUCUUGGUCUAUUAUUUAGGAAAUGCAAGGAAACUUGUAAUUACAGGGCAGAACAGCAAAAGUAUUCUUAGUUCUCCUCACUACACACUUACUGAUUAGGAAGAAAUUUACAAAUGUUUGAAGAGCAGCACUGCCUGUCGUAAUAACCUCUCUCUCCAGCAACUGCCAGAGCAUCUGUUAGAAAAACCACCAACAUUUUGAUUUAAAUGUGUUUAAGUUUCCGGAAGGAAGAUAACAAAAGUCAGCAAUGCAGAUGAGCAACAGUAAGCAUUGGCAUGCAAAAGUAAAAGGAGUCUGGGUGAAAAUUUUCAUCCAAAUAACAACAUAUAUUUCGAAGGACAUUCCACUGCAAAUACGUGUAUUUGAGGAUGGAGCUUUCUCCCUCUAUUUUGAGUCACAGACUCACCAGACACAUGGCGUGGACGGCGUUGUGCGGAAGAGCGUAUUUAUUGCUUCAUUUUCUACUCUGCACCCUGUUCCGUACACCGAGCCGAGAGAUCUGCUGUCAUGCGCCCUGUCGCCUUUACACCCAGACGCCUCCUCCGUAGAACCUGUUUCCAAUGUCUGCUUUCUCUAGAUCUUCUCACUCUCCUCAAACUUUCCCUGUUCUGGAAUGAUCUACUUCUAAUUGCUGUCACUUUUUAAUCUAACAAACCCAAUGACUAUUUCUAUGGGACAGGUUCGUUGUGGGAAGCAAUACUCUGACAUAAACUCAUUAAAGGUGGUACAUAUUUGAG
rnacentral:lncRNA from 1 species